rnacentral:rRNA from 1 species
GAUGAACGCUGGCGGCGUGCUUAACACAUGCAAGUCGAACGGAAAGGCCCAAGCUUGCUUGGGUACUCGAGUGGCGAACGGGUGAGUAACACGUGGGUGAUCUGCCCUGCACUUCGGGAUAAGCCUGGGAAACUGGGUCUACUACCGGAUAGGACCACUUCGUAGUUGUUGUGGUGGAAAGUUUUUUCGGUGUGGGAUGAGCGUGCGACCUAUCAGCUUGUUGGUGGUGUCAUGGCCUACCAAGGCGUCGACGGGUAGCCGGCCUGAGAGAGUGUACGGCCACAUUGGGACGGAGAGACGGCGCAGAGUCCUACGGAAGGCAGCAGUGAGGAAGAUUGAGCAAUGGGCGGUAGGCUGAGGCAGCGACGCGGCGGGAAGGAUGACGUCUUGCGAGAGAUAAACUCCUGUCGACAAAGACGAAGUUAUGACGGUAUUUGGAGAAGAAGCACCGGCUAACUACGUG